UACGUAGGGGGCAAGCGUUGUCCGGAAUCAUUGGGCGUAAAGCGCGUGUAGGCGGCUCGAUACGUCUGCUGUGAAAGUCCAGGGCUCAACCCUGGGAUGCCGGUGGAUACUGUCGAGCUCGAGUCCGGAAGAGGCGAGUGGAAUUCCUGGUGUAGCGGUGAAAUGCGCAGAUAUCAGGAGGAACACCAAUGGCGAAGGCAGCUCGCUGGGACGGUACUGACGCUGAGACGCGAAAGCGUGGGGAGCAAACAGG
rnacentral:rRNA from 1 species